rnacentral:rRNA from 1 species
UACGUAGGGGGCGAGCGUUGUCCGGAUUUAUUGGGCGUAAAGCGCGUGUAGGCGGUCCGGUAAGUCCGCUGUGAAAGUCGGGGGCUCAACCCUCGGAUGCCGGUGGAUACUGUCGGGCUUGAGUACGGAAGAGGCGAGUGGAAUUCCUGGUGUAGCGGUGAAAUGCGCAGAUAUCAGGAGGAACACCAAUUGCGAAGGCAGCUCGCUGGGACGUUACUGACGCUGAGACGCGAAAGCGUGGGGAGCAAACAGG